UUGCAGCCCGACUUGAGUGAAGCUCUUUUUACACGAAGCAAAGCGAAGUGGAAAAAAGCGGGAACGGAAGGCGGAUAAAGC
rnacentral:misc_RNA from 1 species